UGCAAGUCGAGGGGUAACAUAGAGAAGCUUGCUUUUUUGAUGACGACCGGCGCACGGGUGCGUAACGCGUAUACAAUCUACCUCUUACUGGGGAAUAGCCCGGAGAAAUCCGGAUUAAUGCCCCAUAGUAUUGCUACUUCGCAUGUUGAAGCAAUUAAAGGUUACGGUAAGAGAUGAGUAUGCGUCCCAUUAGCUAGAUGGUAAGGUAACGGCUUACCAUGGCAACGAUGGGUAGGGGGCCUGAGAGGGUGAUCCCCCACACUGGUACUGAGACACGGGCCAGACUCCUACGGGAGGCAGCAGUGAGGAAUAUUGGACAAUGGACGCAAGUCUGAUCCAGCCAUGCCGCGUGCAGGAAGAAUGCCCUA
rnacentral:rRNA from 1 species